AUGAACGCUAGCGGCAGGCUUAACACAUGCAAGUCGAGGGGCAGCAUACCCAGCAAUGGGUGAUGGCGACCGGCGGAAGGGUGCGUAACGCGUGAGCAACAUACCCUAUACAGGGGGAUAAGCCAGGGAAACUUGGUCUAAUAUCCCAUAGGAAAUAGAUAAGGCAUCUUGUUUAUUUUAAAGCUUCGGUGGUAUAGGAUUGGCUCGCGUGACAUUAGCUAGAUGGAGGGGUAACGGCCCACCAUGGCAAUGAUGUCUAGGGGUUCUGAGAGGAAGAUCCCCCACACUGGGACUGAGACACGGCCCAGACUCCUACGGGAGGCAGCAGUGAGGAAUAUUGGACAAUGGAUGGAAAUCUGAUCCAGCCAUGCCGCGUGCAGGAAGACGGCCCCUAUGGGUUGUAAACUGCUUUUAUACGGGAGCAAUAAGGUCUAUGCAUAGAUUGAUGAGAGUACCGUAUGAAUAAGCAUCGGCUAACUCCGUGCCAGCAGCAGC
rnacentral:rRNA from 1 species